AAGGACUGACGGUACCUGAGGAAUCAGCAUCGGCUAACUCCGUGCCAGCAGCCGCGGUAAUACGGAGGAUGCAAGCGUUAUCCGGAAUUAUUGGGCGUAAAGCGUCCGUAGGUGGUUCAUCAAGUCAGUUGUUAAAGCGUGGGGCUUAACCCCAUAAAGGCGAUUGAAACUGGUGGACUAGAGUUUGGUAGGGGUCAGGGGAAUUCCCAGUGUAGCGGUGAAAUGCGUAGAUAUUGGGAAGAACACCGGUGGCGAAAGCGCCUGACUGGGCCUGAACUGACACUGAGGGACGAAAGCUAGGGGAGCGAAUGGGAUUAGAUACCCCAGUAGUC
rnacentral:rRNA from 1 species